GUUCACUUCCGCAGCACAUAUACUGAAAUUGGAAUGAUACAGAGAAGAUUAGCAUGGCGCUAAGCAAGAACAAAACACAAAUUCAUGAAACAUCCUGUACUUUU